AGAGGAGGAUUAUCAGGCGCCAGAGCCUCCGCAACAAAUUGUGGUCCAAGAGCUGAACCUCCGAUCCCAACAGAGAGAAUUUGAGUAAAACGGCCUUCUGGCGAAGAUGGUGGCUUAAUCUUACCACUGACGACUUCAUCAGCGAACUUGCAAACGGCAUCAAGUGUCUGGUCAAUCUGCGUUUUCAAAAAAGAGUUUGGAGCGAGGCUCGAAUUCCUCAACCAAUAAUGCCCGACCAUCCUCCCUUCAUCAGGAUUCGCAAUCGCGCCCUUCUCCAGCUUCUCCAUAUCCUUAAAAGCCUUCUGUAAUCGGGGCUCCAUCUCCGCCACAAACUCGUCUGUGAACCCGAUCCGGCUAACGUCCAAACACAGCCCUAGCUCCUUGUGUUGGUACAGCCAAUCAACGUAUCGCCUCCAUAGAGCGCUAGGAUCUUUCUCCAAUCCUUGUUUCGGCUUGCUCAGCAACUUGUCAUUUGUCUUGGAUAAACCGGUGGAUAUCUCGCGCGCAACGGACUGAAUUGGCUCAAGUCGGUAGCGAGUUGCAAAUGUGAGUGAGGUCCUGAGCGGCCGCGAAUUGAUAGUGGUUUUGAGAAGAGGAGUUUUAGGCUUGAGAGAAGGGGAAGAGGAACAGAGACCGGAGAGGGAAGCCAUUGGAAAUCGACGUCGGCGAUGACUAUGACAGGGGGAAGGAAAAGAGAAGUUACUUCAUAGCUGGCAAUAUUUUUGGCGAAAUCGGGAAUGUGGUUUUUGGCGUCGGGAUUUUUUGUCCUUG
rnacentral:misc_RNA from 1 species